UGCAAUAAGAUAUAGACGGUGAUUGGAGUCGUUUCUCUUUUUGCUUCCAGAGGGAGCUCAAACCUGAAGCAUCAAGGUUAUCUUUUUCCAAAGGAUUUGUGUGAACCUAAGUUCGGUACCUGCGACGAGUAAAAACACUUAUUUGACCCUCUAGAGACUCAGCUAGAACUGACUGAGCAAAGGGAAAUCGGGCAAAAGAAAGGGAAGGUACUGAGGAGAAAACGGCAGAUGUUGUUAUCUCCCGCUGAGAGGCGCGGCCGGCGGGGCCGGAUCCUCCGCUUCCCGCGACUGCCGGAGUCGCGCUGGACUAGGCUGACCGCGCAGGGCGGCGAGGCUGGAAGGGAGGUCUCCGCCCGACAAUGCGCAGGUGCCAGAGGAGCCAGGAGGAGUGAGAAGCGCCCUAGACCCGCGGCCUCAAGCGCCAUGCACGUCAAGGGGAAGUGACUCCGGAGUUGUGCCAGGAAGAACACCAAGAACGAGCUGUGCGUUUUUGCGCAGAGAAGUAGUCUUCGCAAGACCGCAGCUCCCUGCCGAAGGCCCAGAAAGGGAGUGCGGGGGAGAGGGCAAACUAUCACUCCCGAGGACUUGGGGCACGACUAUCACACGCAACUGGGAGAUCCUGGAAGACGGAGGAAAAACGAACAAGGGGACAUGGCCCUCACUGCAGUGACAGGGCUUUCCUUCAGUCAGUGGCCACAAUAAAUUUAACCAAGGCUAAAGGAGAUUAAUUUCCCAGCAUAAUCCAAUUAAAAGAUUUCUAAAGUAAUCUUUUGCGAAAAUGAAAAGUGCGCGACUAAAGAGGGGACUGGUUUUGAUGACAGUGAUUUAUCGCCUCAGCACAGCACGCACGGGACGCUGUCUCUCCAAGCGAUUUGACCAGAGCAUCCCGUCCUCGCCUCCUGUCCAAACCUUCCUCUUCCUGAAAGACAGCCAUCUAUCACGCCAACCUGGGCAGGAGAGAAUGUGCAAGGGGCUGGGGCGGCUUACAAGCACCACAGACCUUUUUAAGUGCUAUUAGAUUUAUGGUCUCUUUUUCGACACCCAUCCAGAGUAAUUAGCACAUAUGUUCUAAAUAGAUGAUAGUUUUGUGAGCAAUAAAGCAAUUACCCAUCGUUGGAGCUGACAGUUCCUCCAACUAAACUCCAACCAGCAGCUAAUUGGAAAAGUCAUUUCAGCUCCAUUGUCUGCAAUUAGUCCUGCUAAACUACUACACCCCAACUAGCUGGUUUGAGUUUAAUUUAUUCAAUGUUGUGUUUGCAUGGACAAGCCUUUGCCACGAAGGGACUUGCCUUUUGCCCCUCUAGACUGCGCCCAGGGACUAGAAGAGCAAGUGGGAGUGAGCAGCCGAUAUCUGGGGGCUGGGAUGGCCCCCGGGGGAGGAGGCACCCGACUGGGCCUCAGCUUCAAGGUUAGUUGUCCAGCGGCUGAAAGCCUGCAGAGAAAACCAUUGUUUCUCCUGCUAGACAGUAACCGGAGAAAACUGCUCAGUUCAUGCUACCAAAACCUUUAUUUAAAAAAUUAGAAAUUGUCACCACAGAGAAAGC
rnacentral:lncRNA from 1 species